AUGUUAUUCCAUCUCCUUCAGUCUAUAGGCUGACCUCUAAAGAUGAUGAAAGUUUGGAAAUGUGCCUUAUCACAGAUUACUCCCCUGGAAACCUUACAUCUAAGAUGAAUAAAACRAAGACAGAUGCUGUUGUGGAGGUGGUAACAUCUGAGAACAAACAGGAAGCAAGCUACGUGUCAACCUACUGGACCAAGAAAAAUGAAACGCAGUGUGGCGCAAAGCACGACGGGUUUGGAGAGCUGGAAGGCGAGGAUCCUGAAAGUGGUGCCCGCACUGUCUGUGUAACAGGGGUGUCUCAACACUUCAGGACAGAUGAGAAGCUGAACCUGCUGUCAUUCUCACAACUGGGCCUGAAAAUAAUUUUAAUGAAAGGAAUAAUUUUUAAUGUACUAAUGACAAUGCUUAUGUGGAAAAAAAAGAAUGAAAGUAACCAGAGAGCACAGACUUGA
rnacentral:lncRNA from 1 species